AAGGAAUAUUGGUCAAUGGACGCAAGUCUGAACCAGCCAUGCUGCGUGAAGGAUGAAGGUCCUCUGGAUUGUAAACUUCUUUUAUCUGGGACGAAAACGGGAUUUUUAUCUCAAUUGACGGUACCAGAGGAAUAAGCACCGGCUAACUCCGUGCCAGCAGCCGCGGUAAUACGGAGGGUGCGAGCGUUAUCCGGAUUUACUGGGUUUAAAGGGUGCGUAGGUGGGCUUAUAAGUCAGUGGUGAAAUCUCCGAGCUUAACUUGGAAACUGCCGUUGAUACUAUAGGUCGUGAAUUAUCUGGAGGUCAGCGGAAUAUGUCAUGUAGCGGUGAAAUGCUUAGAUAUGACAUAGAACACCAAUUGCGAAGGCAGAUUACUACAUAUAAAUUGACGCUGAGGCACGAAAGCGUGGGGAUCAA
rnacentral:rRNA from 1 species